rnacentral:tRNA from 1 species
UCCCGGGUGGUGUAAUGGCAGCACUGCGGUUUUUGGUGCCGUUUGUCCAGGUUCGAGUCCUGGCCCGGGAG